rnacentral:rRNA from 1 species
GAUGAACGCUGGCGGCGUGCCUAAUACAUGCAAGUCGAGCGAACAGACGAGGAGCUUGCUUCUCUGGCGUUAGCGGCGGACGGGUGAGUAACACGUGGAUAACCUACCUAUAAGACUGGGAUAACUUCGGGAAACCGGAGCUAAUACCGGAUAAUAUAUUGAACCGCAUGGUUCAAUAGUGAAAGACGGUUUUGCUGUCACUUAUAGAUGGAUCCGCGCCGCAUUAGCUAGUUGGUAAGGUAACGGCUUACCAAGGCAACGAUGCGUAGCCGACCUGAGAGGGUGAUCGGCCACACUGGAACUGAGACACGGUCCAGACUCCUACGGGAGGCAGCAGUAGGGAAUCUUCCGCAAUGGGCGAAAGCCUGACGGAGCAACGCCGCGUGAGUGAUGAAGGUCUUCGGAUCGUAAAACUCUGUUAUUAGGGAAGAACAAAUGUGUAAGUAACUAUGCACGUCUUGACGGUACCUAAUCAGAAAGCCACGGCUAACUACGUG